rnacentral:rRNA from 1 species
UACGUAGGGGGCAAGCGUUGUUCGGAUUUACUGGGCGUAAAGGGCGCGUAGGCGGUCAGCACAAGUCAGUUGUGAAAUCUCCGGGCUUAACUCGGAAAGGUCAACUGAUACUGUGCGACUAGAGUGCAGAAGGGGCAACUGGAAUUCUCGGUGUAGCGGUGAAAUGCGUAGAUAUCGAGAGGAACACCUGCGGCGAAGGCGGGUUGCUGGGCCGACACUGACGCUGAUGCGCGAAAGCCAGGGGAGCGAACGGG